AAUUCCCGUUGAUCCUGCGGGAGGUUGCUGCUAUUGGGAUUCGAUUAAGCCAUGCAAGUCCAGGGGUUCUUCG
rnacentral:rRNA from 1 species